GAGACAGAGCGUGAGCAGGGGAGGGGCAGAGAGAGAGGGAGACACAGAAUCUAAAGCAGGUUCCAGGCUCUGAGCUGUCAGCACAGAGCCCGACCGAUAUGGAGCUUGAACUCAUGAACCACGAGAUCAUGAUGUGAGUUGUAGUCAAACGGUUAACUGACUGAGCCCCCCAGGCGCCCCUCUCUACCUUUUAAAAGAGUCCUUUGUCUCUUCUUUUUGAUAUAUGGGAUUUCUUUACAUAAUAGGUAUAUUAAUCUUUUUAUGCCAGGUUAUCUAUAUUGCAAACAUUUUAUGUCAUUUGGUUUUAUAUUUAAAAACAGGACACUAUUACUUAUAGAAGUCAAUCAAAUGUAUCAAUUCAUAACUCAUCUGGUGUUUAUUUUUUUAAAUAUGGUUUAACUUAGUGGACAUCAACAAGGAUGAAAAAAGGAAAGAUAUUUUAGGACUUACCACUGGUCUUCAAGACUUUAUGUGAUCUUGAGGAAGGUUCUAGGAGAAAAAAAUAAGAUCAGCAUCAUUUGCAAAACCAAAUAAAGAUUUUUUAUAAGUGAAUUAUUAGUUUAUAGGCAAAUUAACUGAGCUCUAUUUUUUUUUAAUCAGAUACACCUGAAACCCAUUGCUUAGAGACACUCGACAGCAAGACAUUCACUCCGACAAAACCAGAGGAUAAAAUCUUGCAGGAUCAAGUUCACACCUUCUGUGAUUCGGCCCCCUCUGCAGCUCUAGCCACUUCUCCUUCUGGUUUACCUUGCAUGCCUGUACCUCUACCCACGGCUCCAUCCGGCCAGGCUGAAGAACCGGCAAUAGAGGUCCGAUCUAAGCAGAGUUAACCGCCAGCAGCAUGGAAGGGACGUGAAUCAGUACUUGUACCUGGGGAAAGAUGCCUCAAAACCUGGAAAUACAAUCCCAUAUGUGGAGCAGUGGUAAUUCUCAAAUAUGAGCUGCAUCGGGGAAACCAUUCACUGUCUCGUUGGCAUGAUCCUUGCAGGCAUUAACACACAGUUCAAGGGCUUCGAACGGAGGAGUGCCUCCUGUGGAUCGCACGUGCUACACGAUCAGCAGAGCUAAGCUUACAGCCUCCAUCUGGAAGGAAGGAAGGAAGGAAGGAAGGAAGGAAGGUGAGAAGAAGAGGGGGAGAAGAAGGGGGGGGAGAGAGAGGAAAGGAGAGGUGGGAAGGAGGAAGUGGGGGGAGCCUUUCACUAAGGUUUCUAAAACCCGGCAUCUG